AUCCUUCUAGGUCAUGAGCGUGAUGAACGGGUCGAUCACUGUCUGUCAGUGAGAUGUGCCGCCUUCCUAUCCUUGUUACGCAAAGGCACAGUACCCUUCUGAUC